rnacentral:rRNA from 1 species
GAUGAACGCUAGCUGGAGGCUUAAUACAUGCAAGUCGAGCGGGAUUCAGUUGUCUUCGGAUGAUUGAUGAGAGCGGCGGACGGGUGAGUAACGCGUACACGACCUACCUUUGACAGGGGGAUAGCCCUGGGAAACUGGGAUUAAUACCGCAUAUUAUUCUGAUUAAUAAAGAGUUGGAAUGAAAGUUCAGGCGGUCAAAGAUGGGUGUGCGUCUGAUUAGCUAGUUGGUAGGGUAACGGCCUACCAAGGCGAUGAUCAGUAGGGGGCGUGAGAGCGUGAUCCCCCCACACGGGUACUGAGACACGGACCCGACUCCUACGGGAGGCAGCAGUAAGGAAUAUUGGACAAUGGCCGCAAGGCUGAUCCAGCCAUCCAGCGUGCAGGAAGACGGCCCUACGGGUUGUAAACUGCUUUUGUCAGGGAAGAAACCUCUGGAUUUACUCCGGAGCUGACGGUACCUGAAGAAUAAGCACCGGCUAACUCCGUGCCAGCAGCCGCGGUAAUACGGAGGGUGCAAGCGUUAUCCGGAAUUACUGGGUUUAAAGGGUGCGUAGGCGGCUUUGUAAGUCAGGAGUGAAAGUUCGCGGCUCAACCGUAAAAUUGCUUUUGAUACUGCAUCGC